rnacentral:rRNA from 1 species
GACGAACGCUGGCGGCGUGCCUAAUACAUGCAAGUCGAACGCAGUGGGGACGGGUGAGUAACACGUGGGUAACCUCCCAUCAGAGGGGAUAACACUUGGAAACAGGUGCUAAACCGAUACUGAUGGAUGGACCCGCGGUGCAUUAGCUAGUUGGUGAGGUAACGGCUCACCAAGGCCACGAUGCAUAGCGGACCUGAGAGGGUGUUCGGCCAAACUGGGACGGAGAAAGGGCCCGGCUUCCUACGGGAGGCAGAAGUGGGGAAUCUGCGGCAAUGGACGAAAGUCUGACCGGGCAACGCCGCGUGGGUGAAGAAGGUUUUCGGAGCGUAAAGCUCUGUUGUUAGAGAAGCGGUAUCUAACCAGAAAGCCACGGCUAACUACGUGCCAGCAGCCGCGGUAUAC